UUUAAUUAUUAUCUUUAAUGACAAAAAUUUCUAUUAAUUAAAAUUUCAAUUCGAUUACACAAUCUAGUCCCACCUAUAAAUAAGCUCUCACAAAUGAAACAAUUAUCUGACCAACAUAUGAAACCAAAGUCUUCGCCAUCACAAGACUAUUUAUUUUUUCAGCCUUCUACAUUUAAUGACAAUAAUUGAUUUUUCCCCUCCAAUCCUUAACUUGCUCAUGACUUGAGCACAUUAAUAUUUCCACCAUCUAACUUGAUGCAAAAAAAUAUUUACAGUUUGCUCUUUAGCUAGGGACUGUUUUGUUAGGUAGAACAAGUUUGCUAUUUAUGGAAGCAAAUGCAAUAAUAUUUUUAUGGAAAUAAAAAAAUAAAUAGAAAAAAUUAUUAUUUAUCUUAAUAAUUUAUCAAAAUUAGCUAUUUAAACUUUUUAUUUUGAAAAAUAUACUAU
rnacentral:misc_RNA from 1 species